GCUUACCAUACCACAACAUCUCGUCCGAUCUCGGAAGCUAAGCAGGGUCGGGCCUGGUUAGUACUUGGAUGGGAGACCGCCUGGGAAUACCAGGUGCUGUAAGCU
rnacentral:rRNA from 1 species